rnacentral:rRNA from 1 species
GUGUCAGCAGCCGCGGUAAGACGUAUGGGGCAAGCGUUACCCGGAAUUACUGGGCGUAAAGGGGGCGUAGGCGGUAAAAGAAGUCAUCUGUGAAAACCUAUUGCUCAACGAUAGGCUAGCGGAUGAAACUGUAUUACUUGAGUGCACCAGAGGUAGACGGAAUUACCCGAGUAGGGGUGAAAUCCGCAGAUACGGGUAGGAACGCCGGUGGAGAAGUCGGUCUACUGGGGUGUAACAGACGCUGAGGCCCGAAAGCUAGGGGAGCAAACCGGAUUAGAUACCCGGGUAGUCCUAGCCGUAAACGAUGAUCACUAGGUGUAGGGAGUGACAAACUCUCUGUGCUGAAGCAGACGCGAUAAGUGAGCCGCCUGGGGAGUACGACCGCAAGGAUGAAACUCAAAGAAAUUGGCGG